UACGUAGGUGGCAAGCGUUGUCCGGAAUUACUGGGCGUAAAGCGCACGUAGGUGGCGACGUAAGUCGGGUGUGAAAGCCCCGGGCUCAACCUGGGAAUUGCAUUCGAGACUGCAUUGCUGGAGUACGGAAGAGGAGGGCGGAAUUCCCGGUGUAGCGGUGAAAUGUGUAGAGAUCGGGAGGAACACCGGUGGCGAAGGCGGGUCUCUGGGCAUCUCCUGACGCUGAGGCGCGAAAGCGUGGGGAGCAAACGGG
rnacentral:rRNA from 1 species